ACUGUAGUGGGAUGCGUGUCUCACCUGAAGAGGACGAAAGUCCGAAACGGU
rnacentral:hammerhead_ribozyme from 1 species